rnacentral:rRNA from 1 species
CCCCACUGAAGAGCAUAACUGUGUUCGUAAGCUCUUCUUAGAGGGACUGACUACGUUUAGUGGUCGGAAGUUUGAGGCAAUAACAGGUCUGUGAUGCCCUUAGAUGUUCUGGGCUGCACGCGCGCUUCACUGACAGAGGCAGCGAGUAUACAACCUUGACCGGAAGGUCUGGGCAAUCUUUUUAAACUCUGUCGUGCUGGGGAUAGAGCAUUGCAAUUAUUGCUCUUCAACGAGGAAUUCCUAGUAAGCGCAUGUCAUCAGCAUGCGUUGAUUACGUCCCUGCCCUUUGUACACACCGCCCGUCGCUACUACCAUUGGAAUGGCUAA